GAGCAAGAGAGAAGAGGACAGAAGAGACAGACAGAGCAGGAAGGGAAGCUCAAGGUCUCAGGGUAUGUCACCCAACUUCUGGCAGCACCACCUGUAUCACCUUCACCAGCAUCUAGAUGGGGCUUUUACUACAACGGAAAGGGUGGAGACCUUAGGUCUCCCUUGGGAGACACUGUUCAGUCUUCUGGUUACAACUUAGUAACUGAUUUGUGCAAGGUCAUCAUUGAAACUUGGUACUCUGACUCCAGGCAACGAGCACUGGCUGUCUAACGCUCCCUAAUUCUGGAGAAGGGCAGGCCAGAGACAUGGACAGAUGAAAAAAAUCCUCAAAGGGAAACAUGUUGCCAAUGUGGAAGAGGAGAAACAAAAAAACAGCAGAAGCCCUAAAAGGAAUCCUAUGAAAAGUACUAUGAUCUCUAAGGAUGGAUGAAGAAGCUAAGAUCGGAGAGACUAGAAAAGUUGGUUAAAGUCAUGCACAGGCAGACAGCAAAACAAGAUUCAAUCCAGAUAUGUCUUUCUCUGAAUCCCAUCUCCUGCUCCACAACACCCUGCAACAUACACUCACCCAGAGCAUAUCACACACCUUAGUGCUGGGGGCACAAGCACUAUCCACUUUACACAACAGAGCCUCAGUUUCCACUCACCUAUUGGCACCCAUCCCACAGGAGCCCAGUUUGGGGCCAUCACCUCCAACGAGCCAGAAGUUCUUUCAGCGCUGGAUGUGGGUGGGAGAGAUUUUGGAGUGCACCACUUGUUUUCAGGACUCAAAUAUUUUCAAAGGGCCUUAAAAAAGCUCCAAGGACCUAAGUCACAUGCCCAUUAGGCCUAAUUAACAGAAUGGGUCUGGAACGGUGGACAACUGAGAAAAAACACAGUGAAGCCAGGAUCGUGAUACAUGCAAUUCUGCAAAAGGGGACAAUUUGGAAAAAAUGGCAUCACAUGAUCUAAUUUUUUAAACUUCUAUUAAUUGGUUCCCAGGCUAUCUCAUCCUUAACCUUGGGAGUUUACCAAAUGUUACUGUAGUUUAACAAACACUAUUUACCCUUUUCAUCUUAUUUGUAUGUAAAUAAAGGGUUA